GUGCUCGCUUCAGCAGCACAUAUACCAAAAUUGGCACAAUACAGAGAAGCAUGGCCCCUGCACAAGGAUGACACUCAAAUUCGUGAAUCGAUCCAUAUUUUC